rnacentral:rRNA from 1 species
AUCUUAGUACCCGGAGGAAGAGAAAGAAAAAUCGAUUCCCUGAGUAGCGGCGAGCGAAACGGGAAGAGCCCAAACCAACAAGCUUGCUUGGUGGGGUUGUAGGACACUCUAUACGGAGUUACAAAAGAACAUGUUAGACGAAUCAUCUGGAAAGAUGAAUCAAAGAAGGUAAUAAUCCUGUAGUCGAAAACAUAUUCUCUCUUGAGUGGAUCCUGAGUACGACGGAGCACGUGAAAUUCCGUCGGAAUCUGGGAGGACCAUCUCCUAAGGCUAAAUACUCUCUAGUGACCGAUAGUGAACCAGUACCGUGAGGGAAAGGUGAAAAGUACCCCGGAAGGGGAGUGAAAGAGAACUUGAAACCGUGUGCUUACAAGUAGUCAGAGCCCGUUAAUGGGUGAUGGCGUGCCUUUUGUAGAAUGAACCGGCGAGUUACGAUCUGAUGCAAGGUUAAGCAGCAAAUGUGGAGCCGCAGCGAAAGCGAGUCUGAAUAGGGCGUUGAGUAUUUGGUCGUAGACCCGAAACCAGGUGAU